AUUGAACGCUGGCGGAAUGCUUUACACAUGCAAGUCGAACGGCAGCACGGGGGCAACCCUGGUGGCGAGUGGCGAACGGGCGAGUAAUACAUCGGAACGUGCCUAGUCGUGGGGGAUAACGCAGCGAAAGCUGUGCUAAUACCGCAUACGAUCUACGGAUGAAAGCGGGGGAUCGCAAGACCUCGCGCGAUUGGAGCGGCCGAUGGCAGAUUAGGUAGUUGGUGGGGUAAAGGCUCACCAAGCCGGCGAUCUGUAGCUGGUCUGAGAGGACGACCAGCCACACUGGGACUGAGACACGGCCCAGACUCCUACGGGAGGCAGCAGUGGGGAAUUUUGGACAAUGGGCGAAAGCCUGAUUCAGCCAUUCCGCGUGCAGGAUGAAGGCCCUCGGGUUGUAAACUGCUUUUGUACGGAACGAAAAGCCUUCUUCUAAUACAGGGGGGUCAUGACGGUACCGUAAGAAUAAGCACCGGCUAACUACGUGCCAGCCGCCGCGGUAACAC
rnacentral:rRNA from 1 species